rnacentral:rRNA from 1 species
AUUGAACGCUGGCGGCAGGCCUAACACAUGCAAGUCGAACGAGUGGCAGACGGGUGAGUUGUGUGUGGGACACCGCGAGAUGGAGGGGGAUAACUAGUGGAAGCGGUAUAUAAUACCGCAUACCAUCAUAUGCGCCCAGAUGGGAUGGGCUUGUGGGUGGGGUAACGGCUCACCUGGGCGACGAUCCCUAGCUGGUGUGAGAGGAUGCCCGGCCACACGGGAACUGAGACACGGUCCAGACUCCUACGGGAGGCAGCAGUGGGGAAUAUUGCACAAUGGGCGCAAGCCUGAUGCAGCCAUGCCGCGUGUGUGAAGAAGGCCUUCGGGUUGUAAAGUACUUUCAGCGGGGAGGCGUUACCCGCAGAAGAAGCACCGGCUAACUCCGUGCCAGCCGCCGCGGUAAUAC